rnacentral:rRNA from 1 species
GGGGUGAAGUCGUAACAAGGUAGCCGUAGGGGAACCUGCGGCUGGAUCACCUCCUUAACGACA